AGUCAACCCACGCGUUUAUUGACAGGAAAGGAAUAUAUAGACGGUAUUCGUCUGCGGAUAAAUGCCCUUCCCACAAAGUCUCGUACUACAAGGAGAAGGCACGAAUUGGAACGACAGUGUCGUGCAGGAUGUGAUGCUCCCGAAACAACAAACCAAUGCAAAAAUGUUACCGCUCUCAUAGGAGGCGGGUAGCUAGACACAACUGCGUAGUAAAUCGUAGCAGGGACUUGAGGAGAGAGAGAUGACUUGGUCAUUGUUUAACCAAGUCUACAGUGCGAAUCCGGCCUUAAUAAACCAGACCAAAAUCACAUUGAUGUGAUCGACAUACAAAUUGUGACAGACGGACACUCAAUGGAUGAUGCACACCAGGGAAAAUCAAUAGAUACGACAGGCCGGACAUACGAACUGAAUUGCGUCGCAGAUUCGAAGCCGCAGGUGACAUUGAAUUCCAUUCUGCCACCCUGAACUGGAGGGGGAUCAGGAGUGGUCAAUACGUUAAAAGAUUGAUAGCGAAGGGUCUCCUCAGAAAAUAUGAUAGUCAUAUCAUUAGCGUCCAGGUUAUGAGAGCCAGUCUCGGUUGUUUUAAACAGUUCAUGUACCUGAGCGGGUUUUCCCGAGAUUGGACUUAGCUAAAACGUUUGGUUCAAAAAAUUUGCUUGCUGUCUUGGCAUAACAUCAAUAAAGGCAUAAGCAUCGCAAAAUAAUGGUUAUAAUUAAAUGGCUAUGAGGGUGGUUUUAGUACGUAGGCGUUGCGGAACUUCGGUUCAUAUACAGCAAUGAAUCGUGCAUGCCAGGAAAACUGACCACACACAGUGUUGGCAGACCAAGUAUCUUUCGAAGAUUUCUAUACCUCCGCGAUCAAAAAAAAAAAAAAAAAAAAAAGCCAAAUGCCUCGUCAUCUAAUUAGUGACGCGCAUGAAUGGAUUAACGAGAUUCCUACUGUCCCUAUCUACUUUGCCGUGUGGUUAGCGGGCGAGAAUACUACCACAGUCCGCUGUUGCUUGUCGUAAGACUAAUACAGGUUCCUCUAACCCUGCUUGUCGGAGCAAAAGGGGGAGGCCCACCGAGCCUCUUUUCGGUACCACGGGUUGAACAGCUAUCCAAGACUGCUCAUUGAGGUAGGCCCCCUGGUGGGAGUAUCGUGGUGGCUGUGGUUGGUACCCAUAUCGCGGGUAGAGCCUUCAUGCUCGACGUUUGAGUUACGGUGCUGGUUGCGCAAAACUCGGGUGCUGAGACCCAGAGAUCAGUAGAGAUUUUAGGUAGAUCUCGCUCCUCAGCAAGGGGGAGUGCUUGCCCGGCAAGCAAGUACUCGAAUUGCUACCGGGGUGGUCGCUAUGUACAUAGCUAUAGCUUCUAGUCCGGGACGCUUGUCUGGCGUAUCCAGACACAUGCACCAUAUGCUCACUUGUGGGUGUAUAGGGUGCCGUGGUUGUAAUCCCUUCAGUGUGGAACACGCCACGUAAAAUAAGUUCGGAGGGAUCCGAAAAGCAUACAUUGUCCCUAUCUACUUUGCCGUGUGGUUAGCGGGCGAGAAUACUACCACAGUCCGCUGUUGCUUGUCGUAAGACUAAUACAGGUUCCUCUAACCCUGCUUGUCGGAGCAAAAGGGGGAGGCCCACCGAGCCUCUUUUCGGUACCACGGGUUGAACAGCUAUCCAAGACUGCUCAUUGAGGUAGGCCCCCUGGUGGGAGUAUCGUGGUGGCUGUGGUUGGUACCCAUAUCGCGGGUAGAGCCUUCAUGCUCGACGUUUGAGUUACGGUGCUGGUUGCGCAAAACUCGGGUGCUGAGACCCAGAGAUCAGUAGAGAUUUUAGGUAGAUCUCGCUCCUCAGCAAGGGGGAGUGCUUGCCCGGCAAGCAAGUACUCGAAUUGCUACCGGGGUGGUCGCUAUGUACAUAGCUAUAGCUUCUAGUCCGGGACGCUUGUCUGGCGUAUCCAGACACAUGCACCAUAUGCUCACUUGUGGGUGUAUAUGGUGCCGUGGUUGUAAUCCCUUCAGUGUGGAACACGCCACGUAAAACAAGUUCGGAGGGAUCCGAAAAGCAUACAUUGUCCCUAUCUACUAUCUAGCGAAACCACAGCCAAGGGAACGGGCUUGGAAUAAUUAGCGGGGAAAGAAGACCCUUUUGAGCUUGACUCUAAUCUGGCAGUGUAAGGAGACAUAAGAGGUGUAGAAUAAGUGGGAGAUAUUAGACCUCGGUUUGGUAUCGUCAAUGAAAUACCACUACUCUUAUUGUUUUCUUACUUACUUGAUUAAGUGGAACGUGUAUCAUUUCCUAGCCAUUAUACGGAUAUAUUUAUUAUAUCUUAUGGUAUUGGGUUUUGAUGCAAGCUUCUUGAUCAAAGUAUCACGAGUUUUUUAUAUAAUCGCAAUCAAAUUCUUUAAUAAAACGAUGCAUUUAUGUAUUUUUGAUUUGAAAAUUUGGUAUAACUCCAAUUACUCAGGUAUGAUCCAAUUCAAGGACAUUGCCAGGUAGGGAGUUUGACUGGGGCGGUACAUCUCUCAAAUAAUAACGGAGGUGUCCCAAGGCCAGCUCAGUGCGGACAGAAACCACACAUAGAGCAAAGGGGCAAAUGCUGACUUGAUCUCAGUGUUCAGUACACACAGGGACAGCAAAAGCUCGGCCUAUCGAUCCUUUUGGUUUAAAGAGUUUUUAACAAGAGGUGUCAGAAAAGUUACCAUAGGGAUAACUGGCUUGUGGCGGCCAAGCGUUCAUAGCGACGUCGCUUUUUGAUCCUUCGAUGUCGGCUCUUCCUAUCAUUGUGAAGCAAAAUUCACCAAGCGUUGGAAUGUUCACCCAUGCAAGGGAACGUGAGCUGGGUUUAGACCGUCGUGAGACAGGUUAGUUUUACCCUACUAAUGACAAAACGUUGUUGCGACAGCAUUCCUGCGUAGUACGAGAGGAACCGCAGGUACGAACCAAUGGCACAAUACUUGUUCGAGCGAACAGUGGUAUGACGCUACGUCCGUUGGAUUAUGCCUGAACGCCUCUAAGGUCGUCUCCGUGCUGGACUGCAAUGAUAAAUAAGGGGCAAUUUGCAUUGUAUGCCUUCUAAACCAUUUAAAGUUUAUAAUUUACUUUAUAAACGACAAUGGAUGUGAUGCCAAUGUAAUUUGUAACAUAGUAAAUUGGGAGGAUCUUCGAUCACCUGAUGCCGCGCUAGUUACAUAUAAAAGCAUUAUUU
rnacentral:rRNA from 1 species